rnacentral:rRNA from 1 species
AUUGAACGCUGGCGGCAUGCCUUACACAUGCAAGUCGAGCGGCAGCGCGGGGGCAACCCUGGCGGCGAGCGGCGGACGGGUGAGUAAUACAUCGGAACGUGUCCUGUCGAGGGGGAUAACCAGUCGAAAGACUGGCUAAUACCGCAUGAGAUCGAAGGAUGAAAGCGGGGGACCGCAAGGCCUCGCGCGAUUGGAGCGGCCGAUGUCGGAUUAGCUAGUUGGCGGGGUAAGAGCCCACCAAGGCUACGAUCCGUAGCUGGUUUGAGAGAACGACCAGCCACACUGGGACUGAGACACGGCCCAGACUCCUACGGGAGGCAGCAGUGGGGAAUUUUGGACAAUGGGGGCAACCAUGAUCCAGCCAUGCCGCGUGUGGGAAGAAGGCCUUCGGGUUGUAAAGCACUUUCGGCCGGAACGAAAUCGCCUUCGUUAAUAGCGCGGGUGGAUGACGGUACCGGAAGAAGAAGCACCGGCUAACUACGUGCCAGCCGCCGCAGUAAAAC